rnacentral:rRNA from 1 species
UUUUAUUUGAGAGUUUGAUCCUGGCUCAGGAUGAACGCUGGCGGCGUGCCUAACACAUGCAAGUUGAGCGAUUUACUUCGGUAAAGAGCGGCGGACGGGUGAGUAACGCGUGGGUAACCUACCCUGUACACACGGAUAACAUACCGAAAGGUAUGCUAAUACGGGAUAAUAUAUUUGAGAGGCAUCUCUUGAAUAUCAAAGGUGAGCCAGUACAGGAUGGACCCGCGUCUGAUUAGCUAGUUGGUAAGGUAAUGGCUUACCAAGGCGACGAUCAGUAGCCGACCUGAGAGGGUGAUCGGCCACAUUGGAACUGAGACACGGUCCAAACUCCUACGGGAGGCAGCAG